GCAUCUAAAGCGGUGACAUGAAUGUAGUUGAGUAGAAGUACAAAGUGACAUGAAAUGUAAGUAAGAAGCAGCUCAAAGUACAGGACGGUUCCUCUCCAGCGCUGGAGAAGAAGAAGAAGAAGAAGAAGAACUUAAUGAAUUUGAACUCGGUGUCUCGUCUCCCUCAGAUCUGAGGAACAGCUCGGCGGUGUUCUGGGAGGGCGGAGUCAGCGGUGGAUACCAGGCCUUGUUAUUGGACGAAGACCAAGGAUGGCUGCUGGUCGGAGGGAAGGACCACAUCUACCUGCUGAGGCCGGACAGCUUGGACCUGCCCACGCAUACGAUCCACUGGCCGGCUGCCAGAGAACAUGUGGAGCACUGCUGCCUGGCAGGGAAAAGUCUGGAGAUAGAAUGUGCUAACUUCGUGCGUCUGCUGCAGCCGUUCAAUAAGACCCACGUCUAUGCUUGUGGCACCGGAGCCUUCCAUCCACAGUGUACAUACCUGCACAUAGGACACAACACAGAGGUAUUCAUAUGUUUAUUCA